GCGAACGGGUGAGUAACACGUGAGUAACCUGCCCCUUACUCUGGGAUAAGCGCUGGAAACGGCGUCUAAUACUGGAUAUUACCUUUCAUCGCAUGGUGUUUGGUGGAAAGAUUUUUCGGUUUGGGAUGGACUCGCGGCCUAUCAGCUUGAUGGUGAGGUAGUGGCUCACCAUGGCGACGACGGGUAGCCGGCCUGAGAGGGUGACCGGCCACACUGGGACUGAGACACGGCCCAGACUCCUACGGGAGGCAGCAGUGGGGAAUAUUGCACAAUGGGCGCAAGCCUGAUGCAGCAACGCCGCGUGAGGGAUGACGGCCUUCGGGUUGUAAACCUCUUUUAGUAGGGAAGAAGCGUAAGUGACGGUACCUACAGAAAAAGCACCGGCUAACUACGUGCCAGCAGCCGCGGUAAUACGUAGGGUGCAAGCGUUGUCCGGAAUUAUUGGGCGUAAAGAGCUCGUAGGCGGUUUGUCGCGUCUGCUGUGAAAUCCUAAGGCUCAACCU
rnacentral:rRNA from 1 species